UACAGAGGGUGCAAGCGUUAAUCGGAAUUACUGGGCGUAAAGCGCGCGUAGGUGGUUUGUUAAGUUGGAUGUGAAAGCCCCGGGCUCAACCUGGGAACUGCAUUCAAAACUGACAAGCUAGAGUAUGGUAGAGGAUGGUGGAAUUUCCUGUGUAGCGGUGAAAUGCGUAGAUAUAGGAAGGAACACCAGUGGCGAAGGCGACCACCUGGACUGAUACUGACACUGAGGUGCGAAAGCUAGGGGAGCAAACGGG
rnacentral:rRNA from 1 species